rnacentral:rRNA from 1 species
AAUUAUUUAUUUGAUGGUUUCUUACUACAUGGAUAACCGUAGUAAUUCUAGAGCUAAUACAUGCGUAAAGUCCCGACUCUCGCGGGGAGGGAUGUAUUUAUUAGAUUAAAAACCAAUGCGGCCUUUGGUCGGACUUGUGUUGAUUCAUAGUAACUUUUCGGAUCGCUGGGCUUCACGCCGGCGACAGUUCAUUCAAAUUUCUGCCCUAUCAGCUUUCGACGGUAGUGUAGUGGACUACCGUGGCAUUUACGGGUGACGGAGAAUUAGGGUUCGAUUCCGGAGAGGGAGCCUGAGAAACGGCUACCACA